CCCUUAGAUGUCCUGGGCUGCACGCGCGCUACACUGAUGGAGGCAACGAGUAACAUCCUUGGCCGAUAGGUCUGGGUAAUCUUGUCAAACUCCAUCGUGCUGGGGAUAGAUUAUUGCAAUUAUUAAUCUUCAACGAGGAAUUCCUAGUAAGCAUAAGUCAUCAGCUUGUGCUGAUUACGUCCCUGCCCUUUGUACACACCGCCCGUCGCUACUACCGAUUGAAUGGCUUAGUGAGGCCUCCGGACUUGCCGAUUUGUGCUGGAAACGGCGCUAUCUGGCGGAAAGUUGGACAAACUUGGUCAUUUAGAGGAAGUAAAANUCGUANCA
rnacentral:rRNA from 1 species